CAACCAUGCAGUCUAGAGGGAACACUGCUUCAAAGUCACAGAUUUGAAUAGAGAUUUUCAGAGGGUUCCAGGCAUAGACGAAUAAUCCAGCAAAACUUUUGACUUCCCAGACAAUUCUGUGAGAGGCUGCUAUGAAGAUUACAAUGACUACAGGCUCAACUUAUACAAACCUGCGCCUCAAGAAAAUCCCUCCAUGCCGAUGAUCAGCUGAAAGAACCUUCCCUCGACUGGAUGCUUUGGGCACUUUCUCCAAUUGAGGUAUCUUGUUUAAUGCAGACAGCGCAGCCAUCUGACAAGGCCCAAGAGUUGUUGCAGAUCUUUAAGGAAGAAACAUUGCCAUUAUAUCUAGCAAUCGCAUCAACCAGCUCAGAUACCAACGUUGCAUCCCUAUUAGGAUGCAGUAUAGAGUUAUAAUCUGCAUGUGCCAAUUCAUUUGGGCAUGAGUGGGCUGUAGGGAGAGCAAGGGCUGAGGACUGUUCCUGACAAGUUUGUUGCAGGAAACUCAGAAGAAGAUUCCAAUGGGAUGACACUUCUCCAGGGGAAUCAGGAAUUGACAAUAAAUGUUCCCUCUAAUCUGAACAGAUCCAUGACUGCACAACUGCCAGGAAACUCCACAUGCUGAUUGACCUUCUGAGGCAUAAGCUGCUGCCUCAUCUGGACGCUGGAGACUCAGGCAGCAAGAAGAAUAUUAUCAGGAACAUUUAAUGCUGAUCCAUAUUUUUAAAUAACACUCAAUGUCCUAACCAAUACUAAUUAGUUAAACAAUGUUAUUAACAUUAUUGAAACCAUGUUAUUUGUUACUGUUAUUCUUUAUCGGACUUUCCUUUGUUGAAAUCACCUGCCCAUUUCU